rnacentral:lncRNA from 1 species
UUUCUUCAAAACUAGAUCUGAAAGAGAUGAGGCUCUCUGUUAGCUGCAUAAAUAUCUGACCUCUAUGAGUAUCUACUCGAGAUCAGCCUAGAACAGUCCUCUAUAAUCUGAAUUUUAAUUUUUUAAAAUUCAGCUUGCUGAAUCUGAAUGAAACCUGGAUCACGAUCAACACUUGAUCUUUCUUCUUGAUCUUCUUCUUCUCCUCUUCUCUAGAGUUUCUCCUUGCUAUGUGCUACUAUCAAAUACUAGAAACCAGCA